rnacentral:lncRNA from 1 species
CUCUGUCACCCAGGCUGGAGUGCAGUGACGCAAUCUCGGCUCACUGCAACCUCCACCUCCCGGGUUCACGCCAUUCUCCUGCCUCAGCCUCCCCAGCAGCUGGGACUGCAGGCACCCGCCACCACGCCUGGCUAAUUUUUUUUGUAUUUUUGGUAGAGAGGGGGUUUCCCCGUGUUAGCCAGGAUGGUCUCGAUCUCCUGACCUCGUGAUCCGCCCGCCUCAGCCUCCCAAAGUGCUGGGAUUA